AUACCUUUCUCGGCCUUUUGGCUAAGAUCAAGUGUAGUAUCUGUUCUUAUCAGUUUAAUAUCUGAUACGUGGGCCAUCGGCCCACAUGAUAUUAAAUUAAUUUUUCUAGGGGGAGGGCCCAUCACAGUAGCUUGCUGCUGGGGCCCUCGCGCGUCGCCUUGGCGUUGCCCUACUGCCUGGGCCUGGCGCACCCCUC
rnacentral:snRNA from 1 species